rnacentral:rRNA from 1 species
GACGAACCGUGCAGAACGUUGUUCGGAUUCACUGGGCUUAAAGGGCGCGUAGGCGGGCCACUCAGUCCGGGGUGAAAUCUUUCGGGCUUAACCGGAAACGAGCCUUGGAGAGCGGGUGGUCUGGAGGAGAUAGGGGCAGGUGGAACUUCCGGUGGAGCGGUGAAAUGCGUUGAUAUCGGAAGGAACGCCGGUGGCGAAAGCGACCUGCUGGAUCUCUUCUGACGCUGAGGCGGCGAAAGCCAGGGGAGACGAA